GCUGGGUGCAGUGGCGUGUACCUGUGGCCCCAGCUACUUGGGAGGCUGAGGUGGGAGGAUCACUUGAGCCCAGGAGUUCUGGGCUACAGUGUGCUAUGCUGAUCGAGUGUUUGCACCAAGUUUGGCAUCAAUAUGGUGACCUCCUGGGAGGAGGGGACCACCAGGUUGCCUAAGGAGGGGUGAACCGGCCCAGGUUGGAAACGGAGCAGGUCAAAACUCCUAUGCUGAUCAGUAGUGGGAUCGCGCCUGUGAAUAACCACUGCACUCCUGCCUAGGCAACAUAGCAAGACCCUGUCUCU
rnacentral:SRP_RNA from 1 species